rnacentral:rRNA from 1 species
CGGAAUCGAGAGCUCCAAGUGGGCCAUUUUUGGUAAGCAGAACUGGCGAUGCGGGAUGAACCGAAGCCGGGUUACGGUGCCGGACUGCGCGCUAACCAGAUCCACAAAGGGUGUUGGUCGAUUAAGACAGCAGACGGUGGUCAUGGAAGUCGAAAUCCGCUAAGGAGUGUGCACUCACCUGCCGAAUCAACUACCCCGAAAAAUGGAUGGCGCUAAGCGCGCGACCUACACCCGGCCGUCGGGCAAGUGCCAGGCCCCGAUGAGUAGGAGGGGCGCGGCGGUUCGCCGCAAGCCUGUGGCGCGAGCCAGGGCGAGUGCGGCCGUCGUGCAGAUCUUGGUGGUAGUAGCAAAUAUUCAAGUGGAACUUUGAAGGCGAAGAGAGGGAAAGGUUUCCAUGUGAACGGCACUUGCACAUGGGUUAGUCGAUCCUAAAGACGGGGAAAGCCGUCGACGGCGCGCCAGCGCGAGCUUCGAAAGGGAUCGGGUUAACAUUCCUGACCGGGACGUGGCGGCUGACGCAACGUUAGGGAUGUCCGGAGACGUCGGCGGGGGCCUCGGGAAUAGUUAUCUUUUUCUGUUUAACAGCCUGCCACCUGGAAACGGCUCAGCCGGAGGAGGGUCCAGCGGCCGGAGAGCACGCAGAUGCGUGGGUCCGGUGCGCCCCGGCGCCCUUGAAAAUCCGGAGGACCGAGUGCCGACCCGCCCGGUCGUACUCAUAAAACCGCAUCAGGUCUCCAAGGUGAACAGCCUCUGGUCGAUGGAACAUGUAGGCAAGGGAAAGUCGGCAAAAAUGGAUCCGUAACUUCGGGGAAAAGGAUUGCUCUGAGGGCUGGGCACGGGGGUGUCCCAGUCCCGAACCGUCGGCUGUCGGUGGAUUCUGCUCGAGCUGCCUCCGCGGAGAGAGCGGGUCGCGCGUGCCGGCGGGGGACGGACUGGGAACGGCUCCCUCGGGGGCCUUUCCCCGGGCGUCGAACAGCCGACUCAGAACUGGUAACGGACAAGGGAAUCCGACUGUUUAAUUAAAACAAAGCAUUGCGAUGGUCCCUGAGGAUGCUAAACGCAAUGUGUUUCUGCCCAGUGCUCUGAAUGUCAAAGUGAAGAAAUUCAACCAAGCGCGGGUAAACGGCGGGAGUAAACUAAUGACUCUCUUAGGUAGCCAAAUGCCUGUCAUCUAAUUAGUGACGCGCAUAAUGGAAUGAUUAACCGAGAUUCCACGUCCCUGUCUACUAUCCAGCGAAACCACAGCCAAGGGAAGGGCUUGGCACCCUCUUCAUUGAACCUUUUCAUCAUGUCAAGUAUCUGGAUGGGACGGUCUACUACGUCUUUGGGUUUUCUCCUCAUUGUUUCAUCCUCCUCGUUUCUGUAUGCGCUGAAGUCUCUCUGGUUCUUACAUACAUGCAUCUCUGCGUUGUAAGACUGGAAAUGGUGGUGGAAAUCGUUCUUGCUUCUGGUCAGUGGCCAUAUACAUUUUCCUCUACUCCAUCAACUACCUCUUUAUUUGACCUUAAGAGCUUGAGCGGGCCUGUCGCAGAACCCUAUACUUAGGUUAUUCUCUCUUCAUGGUUCUGGCCAUUCAUGCUGGCAACAGGGACGGUUGGGUUCCUUUCUUCAUUCUGGUUCGUGCACUACUUGUUUUCUCGUCUGUGAAGCUGGAUUGAGAAGCAUCAAUCGUGUUCACCAUUAGAGGUUAUAAGCAGAGAUCAUCAAAAAGCUAGAAAAACAGAGGACACUCUAUUUUUAUUGCUUCAGAAAAAUGGUACUUGUUUUUUGGGUUUAUGUUUUUGUUUGUUAGGGAACUUGUUAAAGUCUUAAUAAUAUUAAUUUGU